UCUUGUCUUGUCUAAUUAGCACUAGUUUAAAAAAAAUACAUUUCAUUGAUUUGAAUUCAUGAAGAUGCAAUCUCAAUUUGUUCAUUGAAACCAUUAUUCGCUUUCCUUCAAUGCCAUUUCUUCCACUUUGAGACAAAGCCUACUUUUCUAUUUUUUUUCUGAAUGUCAGCAAAUAAACCUUGUUUUGAUUAAAUCACUAAUUCUAAAAAAGAAAUCUGUCAAAAACAAGGCAAAGAUUGUUUUUAAUGGAAAUGUGGAAACAAAAAAGUCAAUAUAGGAUUGGAUUUGUUAAUAACUAAAGCAAAUCACAACCUUGUAAAUUUGAAUCACAUCAGUUUGUGAGUUUCUCAGUGUUAUUCAGCCUUUUGUAAGCGUAUUGCUCAUGUGCUUUAUAGGAUUUUGCCUUAUUUUUUGCUUUUUAUUAUGCUUUUAGUUCCCUUGAGAUAAAUAAUCAGUUUCGUUGUAUGUCUGUUAAAGCUGCAAACAAAAUCUUCAACAGAACAACUUGAAAAAGCAAAGAGGAUCAUCAUAUCUAUUCCGAAAGUCCUCAUUUAUUUUACACCUCCCCAUGAUUACUGUAUAUGGAGUCGUAUCGAGGUACCCAUGGGUUGCUGUUCUACGUUCUGCAGUGUUUGAGCAUCCAAUCUUGUUUGAGGUCAAAGUACAUCAAGCUUUCAGGCUUGGUCCAAUAGUUCCAUGCUUGGCUGAAUGUGGCCCACGCUGGGCUGAGACAUCACGGCAAGUCCACAGGACGCGAGGUAGGAUGAGUUAACCACAGGGAUCUGAGCGGAUUUACUCACCUGCCAGCAUCCUUUUUUGGUCAAUGGUGCACCUAUUGUACAGCCUCAAUAAUAUGCUAUAAGCAACACUGUGGCAUAGAACAAACAAAGGCUUGGCAAAGAGUCGAACCGGUUGUUGUCUGACUUUAGGUAAUGUCAAACAAACGGAGAGGAGGAAAACCAAAAUGCUGCAGAUCGCAGGAAAAUUGUUUGAUGUUCUAUUUGUCGUGGUUGCAAGAAUAGAAAAUGUUGAAGUCUUUGAGGGUUAAGAAGAAACGCAUCAAAUCAGAUCAUCAAUCCGAUCUAUUCCUUAAUAAGCCUGUAAGGUGAAAGUAUGACGGAAUGUAGUUCUUUCACAUUAUUUGAUAGAACUUAUAAAGGAAUUAAAAAAUGACACGCUCUGAAAAGAUUGACUUUACUUCGGAGCGAGGAGAAACAGAGGGAGUCCACACAGAUUUUUGUUCUGCUUCUCUGCAAAGCUUCAUGAAAGAUUGCACCAGUCUGCAUGCUUAACUUCAAUUCUGUCAAAAAGGAACAAAUAUAACAAAAAGCGAUCAUACUUGGACCCUUUGGGAUCAGAGCCUUAGCUCCAGUGUUGACUUACUUUAAAUCCCUGUAACUUUUCAACCAUUGAUGCAAUCAAGAUAAUUCCAACAAAUUCUGAGAUCCCCAAAAAGCAGCUUUGUGCUUAACAGUGGUUUCUAUUCCACAACUGUAUAUGCUUUUGAUGAAAACCUGCCUAAAAGUAAAAAGCUCACAGACACAAUUUUUGACCUUUAACUUUGUCCUUUGAAGACAGAGAAAAAAUGUUUUAUUUUUAUUUUUUACUUUUCAACGUCAUGUUUGCAUCUGAUUUGCCUCUUUUUUAUUUCCAGGUAUGUUUGAAAACUGUUGGAAAUUCACACAAUUCAAUGUUAGAUUUUUUUUUGUUUUUUUAAUUUUUUAUUUCAUCCAAGUCACUUAAAUCAUUUAAAUCUACUACAUUUUUGCUACUUUGUACAACAGGUGAAAGUUAAAGAUUGAAUCAAAGGAAUCUCUUGUUUGGCAGGUCAUGCAUUGAUGCCUUUAACUGUUUGUGAACACAUAAGACGUUCAAUGUGUUUAACCCCUUAUGUGUUCCAUCAUCAAAUUUAAGGUAUACUAUAUAUAUAUUUUUUAAAAAGGAAAAACUCUAAAGCAUUAAGAUAAAAUGUUGUCCGACCUUGAAAAAGUCUCUUUUACACAAAUAAUUUUUCAAAUUGCAAAUUAUUCUGAAAUACCUUCAGCCUAAUAAGACCUUGAAUUCUGAAAACUGCACUCUGUUAGCAUAUAGGAUGUAAUCCACUGGAGGAAUUUAUCAUUACUGUGCGAGGCCUGACGGUAUGUGAGCUUUUAAAAUUAAUGACAGAAGCUCUCUGACUUUUAGUCCAUCUAAAAUUUUCAUUAAAUUUCAUUAUUCAGCUCUCUCUGUGGCCCUGAAUUAAUAAACUCCAGGUAUCAUACCAUGAAUUCAUAUUACAUUUGAGACGCAUAGAGGCAGGUAUGCAGUUCUUUUUCUCUCCCAUUCACAAUAUUCUAAAAACACAGAAUUAAAAAAGUAAGUUCAAAUCACUUCUGCUCGAUGCAGAACUUUGGUUAUUACCUUCAAAGUGGAUCGCGAGGACAAAGUGGAAAACGCUGCCGCCUCCCGCACACGCACACAUGCAGUGAGGUGCUAUUUUAGUAGAGGUUGAAAUCAAUGGUUCUACCAUAUAUCACUCAAUUGGCUGGGAAAACAUCUCUUUUUACUGACACUGACAAAUUAAGGGCAAGAUUUUUCCUUCAGAGGCUGAAAACCUUUCAUCUCUGAAUCGGUUUCUAGAGUCGUACACAUGAGAUAUGUGAUGCUAAAUAUGUUGCAACUAAGAAAAAAGGUUUCCCUUUCAGCUCAACAAAAUCUUUCAGACUUGAUACUGUAGAUUCCGCUUUUACCAAACAGUAGAUUUUCCUGUUUUCAUUUUCCAGAUGUAUCUUCAGAUUAUAUCGACAGUUUGGACUACAGACCAUUGGACUGUGAAUAGCAGAUUUCUGCUGUGAGCAGGGUUCAUGUUUGUUUACCCCGGGAGUGACGGCAGAGAGGUUAAAGCUCCCUUUAGGCUCUAUAAAGAGCCUGAGCUGGAAGGCAGUGUGAACAACUGUUAACAGCGCUGCCCCUGAUGGGUUUUCUUUAACUAAGUCUUGAAGAGCUUUUUAUACUGUGACUUCUCUUUCAAGAAGAAGGCAAGCAUUCAGGUCUCCUCUCUUGGGCUUUGAACCUUCAAAUUGUGAGAGAGAUGGAGGGAAGGUUUGAGCGCGAUUGCUUGACGAUCAGACCACCGUAGAGGGAGGAAGAAUCCCUGAGAUUUAAAGCUCCCGUUUGUUUCAACGGGCAGUAUGUAUCCUUUACAGCUCCUGUUUUGAUCAAGGACGGUGGGUGACCAAUGAACUGCUGCAACUGCGUCAGUUUGUCACUGCGAAGAGUCCUGGCAUGUGGACCAUUUAUCAGAGAUGGGGGCUGCAUGACACCAACCCAAACCUCUUACUGUUUAAAAAUAAAAUAAAAAACUAUAAAAGAAAGCGUCCAGUUUACAACUAUCAAACUCACGUGCUGUUUUUGCCUAAUUACAUGUACAUGGUAUAUUUUUCUCAACAACAACAAUGGGUGUUUAAUUGUGUUUUAAUUUAACAAAAAUACAGAAUCUUUAAGCAGGUUUUUAAACGUGUUUGGCUGUAGCUGAACUCGUUUUAGGCUAGCAGUGUUAGUCUAACACUCCUCAAAGCAGUUUUUGGGGGAGUGGUGGCCAGUCAAAGUGGUUACUUUGAGUUUAUCCAAAGGAGUCCAAUCACUGCCUUUUUAAAAAUCGCAUAAAUUCUUUCAAAAGAAGAAACUGUAGGUUUUUCUCUUCAUUAAAGACUUUUCUAUACUUACAAGUUAACCCUUUAACACCGGGAUGUUAAUAAACCGUAACUCUACACCCAUUAACGUGAUCAACGUGAAUCAGCCGAUUCUGAUUCACCUUUUCAUAUUGGCUUUGCAAUUUACUGGUGGCAAAAAGCCACUUUUUCUCCACGACAGGAUCAGCUCAUUUAUGCUGAUUGUGGGAAUGAUUGUCACCCAUUGGCCAUAGAAAAAACUAAUAGAUAUCAACCCUUUUACAAAAACUAUUAAUUAAUCCACAGUGUUCUGAUGAUUAAAACUUAAAUAAGUUUUAAGAAAUGAUUUUCUUACAUAUUUUCAAAUUGACAAAUUGUUCAACAUUGUGCAUUGUGGUUCAUAUUUGCCAAUCUAAUGAGCAUCGAUGCACACACUGGAUUUUGGAAUUGUGGAAUUGGACACCCCGAUAAAAUGGCAAACACCCAAUACGGUGCAUUAAAAGGUUAGUGGUGAGGUGAAUAAGGACACAACUGUAGUGUUGUGGCAAGCAUCUCUCAAAGAUCUCAUAGUUACAUACACUGCCGUAGAGCAGUGGUAGGGCGGUCGACCUAUGAUCGUUAGAUUGCAGGUCCGAUUCCCGCCCGUGUGUGGACAUGUCCUUGGGCAAGUCAUUGAACCCCACCUUGCCUCUGGUGGAAGGUUGGCGUCAGUGUUCGCCAGCGGAGCCGCCAUCAGUAUGUGAAUGUGUGGGUCUUCGAUGAAGGUAGAGAUGCGCUAUACAAGUAUACGCCAUAUAUACGCCAUACUUUACAAACAGAGAAUUUUGUUUCCAGUCUGGGGGAAUACUAAUAGUUCCAAGAAUUUCCAUUACAAGAACCUAGAAUUGUGGGUGGCUGGGGGUGGGGGGCAGAGCCUUUAGCAAUCAUACUCCUACUUUUUUUCUUUUUAAGAUGUUUAUGCUGACUUUGUCUUUAAAGCUACACUUAAUACAUUUGUUCUGAUAUAAUACCCUUUCUUUAAGGAUGAUCUUGUGUAAUGUUAGUUUCCUGCCCCUCUUACACAUAAGGGUUGUUAUCCCAGACCAUGGAGGAAGUCAUAUUUGUUCAAUAUUUAGUUAGGUAUGAUGACAAACUCAUAACUCAUUUACUUUCUUUUUCUCUGCCCUUCAUCUGUGAGGGAAUAGGGAGGCAGUGCUUACAGCCAUAUCCAGUGGGAGAUGGUCCUGAACCCUCUCUCUGGGCCCGGCCUCUCUGCUCUCUGGCUCCACCCCUCUGUCUCUGUGAGUGACUAAGCAAUGACAUGGUUAUGCUGCUAUAGACCUGGACCGCUGGGGUUUGUCUAAAGACCUACUAGGCAUUUUCCCUACCUUUCUCACUCUUUCUUAACAACAGCUGUGUAUAUCAUGGUUUGCAAUACGGACAUUUAUCUUACUUGACUUAUAAGAGAGGCUUCUCUUGGUAUGCUUCAUAUCCUCUAGGUCAGGGGUGUCCAUACUUUUCCGGCAUUAGAGCUACUUUUAAUAAAAUCAGCUUCAAAACAUCUGCACACGCACAAACACACACAGAUCUGUGUGUGUA